AUUGAACGCUGGCGGCAGGCUUAACACAUGCAAGUCGAGCGGAGAUGAGGUGCUUGCACCUUAUCUUAGCGGCGGACGGGUGAGUAAUGCUUAGGAAUCUGCCUAUUAGUGGGGGACAACAUUCCGAAAGGAAUGCUAAUACCGCAUACGCCCUACGGGGGAAAGCAGGGGAUCUUCGGACCUUGCGCUAAUAGAUGAGCCUAAGUCGCGAUUAGCUAGUUGGUGGGGUAAAGGCCUACCAAGGCGACGAUCUGUAGCGGGUCUGAGAGGAUGAUCCUCCACACUGGGACUGAGACACGGCCCAGACUCCUACGGGAGGAAGCAGUGGGGAAUAUUGGACAAUGGGCGGAAGCCUGAUCCAGCCAUGCCGCGUGUGUGAAGAAGGCCUUUUGGUUGUAAAGCACUUUAAGCGAGGAGGAGGCUACCUGGAUUAAUACUCUAGGAUAGUGGACGUUACUCGCAGAAUAAGCACCGGCUAACUCUGUGCCAGCCGCCGCCGUAAUAC
rnacentral:rRNA from 1 species